GCACCCGUAGCUCAGCUGGAUAGAGCGCCGCCCUCCGGAGGCGGAGGCCAGAGGUUCGAAUCCUCUCGGGUGCGCCA
rnacentral:tRNA from 1 species